AUUGAACGCUGGCGGCAUGCCUUACACAUGCAAGUCGAACGGCAGCAUGAUCUAGCUUGCUAGAUUGAUGACGAGUGGCGAACGGGUGAGUAAUACAUCGGAACGUGCCCUGUAGUGGGGGAUAACUAGUCGAAAGAUUGGCUAAUACCGCAUACGACCUGAGGGUGAAAGUGGGGGACCGCAAGGCCUCAUGCUAUAGGAGCGGCCGAUGUCUGAUUAGCUAGUUGGUGAGGUAAAGGCUCACCAAGGCGACGAUCAGUAGCUGGUCUGAGAGGACGAUCAGCCACACUGGGACUGAGACACGGCCCAGACUCCUACGGGAGGCAGCAGUGGGGAAUUUUGGACAAUGGGCGAAAGCCUGAUCCAGCAAUGCCGCGUGUGUGAAGAAGGCCUUCGGGUUGUAAAGCACUUUUGUCCGGAAAGAAAUGGCUCUGGUUAAUACCUGGGGUCGAUGACGGUACCGGAAGAAUAAGGACCGGCUAACUACGUG
rnacentral:rRNA from 1 species